AUGCUCGCUUUGGCAGCAUAUAUACUAAAUUUUAGAAUGAUACAGAGAAGAUUUAGCAUGGCCCCUAUGCAAGGAUGACAUGCAAUUUAUGAAGUGUUCCAUAAUAUU
rnacentral:snRNA from 1 species